ensembl:lncRNA
AUAUAUUAUAGACAUAUUUGACUGCAACUGCCCUGACAUGCACAGCCAACUCGUAGCACAGCAUGUGCCACAUCUUUGCGCAUAGACUUGAAUUGUCUGAGUGGGUCUCCCAGAACUGUCUCCAUGAGCCCCUGAAACGUUGCGGGAGCAUUUUUGAGCCCAAACCUUUGAGCCUGCAGGAGUGAUGAAGUGAUGAAAUGAUGACGGCUGCUCCUAACGCCAUACAGACUUCAUAUAAAUCCAUAAUGAACUUUUUCACACUAACUGUUGUUACCCAGAUGAGGAUGGGUUCCCUUCUGAGUCGGGUUCCUCUCAAGGUUUCUUCCUCUUAAAACAUCUUAGGGAGUUUUUCCUUGCCACCGUCGCCACUCAGUGGCUUGCUCAGUUGGGAUAAAUUCGCACCUUUAAUAUCUGUAUACCAUGUUGAUAUUUCUGUAAAGCUGCUUUGAGACAAUGUCUAUUGUAAAAAGCGCUAUACAAAUAAAAUUGAAUUGAAUUGAAUUGAAUUGAAUGAAGGCCAUCUUGGCUUUGCUGUUGACAAAACACAAUACAAUCUCAAAGAUCAGCGAUAACCAUUAAGCUUCCAUUAAGCUUAAAACAAUGAAUUAGCACGGAUAAGAAAUAAACCAAUGUGUGAAUGGGAAUGAAGUGUGGGUGUGUCUGAGUGUGUGAAUGAGUGUUGGUGUGAGAUCGCGGCGUCCGGGCACACUGACCGAUUUGGAGGAUGGGAUGGCAACUGGAGAAUGUAAUCAGCCCUCGUCAGGCUCCAAGAAGGGAGGUAACAGGCCUUGAACUUGUCUUUGAACAGCUCACCACGAACAGCCAUUUGUACAAGUGCUCUGUGUCGCACUGGACUGCAUGCACAGAAAGCAUUAGAUCAAAAGCGGCCGUCUCCCCACUCCACACAGUAACCAUAUCUUUUCCUCUCACUUGACAACCUUCUCACGAGCCAAGCCAACCUCGACUGGUGCCCGUCCUCUUUUCACCUCAUAGGUGAAAUAGGCCUCGCCUCCAUUUCCCUUUCUGCAGUUAAUUGACUUACUCCACCCUAUCCGUUAAAGGUAAAAGUGAAAAAUAACCAUUGCACAUUCCCGUAUAGUUUACUGCACUGUCACACUGUGUCAAAAGUCAGCAGUUGAAAGCCCCAGCGCUGCCAAGCAGCCAAUGUUGGGCCCUUAAGCAAGGCCCUUAAUCCUGUCUGCUCUAAGGGUGCUGUAUUAUGGUUGAUUGUGUGCUCUGAUCCCAGAUUGUUAAAAAGAAAUAUAUGCUUUUAUAUGUGAUGAAAGAAUUUCAUUUACUGUGAUGUAUGUGGUAUGUGACAAAUAAAG